GGCCCUUGUAUAAACUUUUCAAAUCAACGUUCCUUCGACUUUUAUCUUUUCGUGCACUCCAUUUCUCGGAAGAACAUUGCUGCAAGGCUGCAAUUGAAGAAAUAUAUAUAUUUCACCCGACAAAACACAGUUUUUUCAAAAGAAAAGAAAAGAAAAGAAAAUUCCCAAAGCUUCCCUUGUUGACUUCUUCCACUCUCUUCCGAUAUAUUCCUUGAAACCCUAAUUAGAGAGCGAUGGAUAUUUCAACUCCUACAUUCCCCGUACACCACUCCACUCUAUCUCUCGAUAUUGAGGGGCAUAAAACAGAGAUAAUCAUUAGCAGUUAUGAGGAUCAUUUCCUUGUUAUUGUGACCCAAAUUGGAAGCAUGGGGACGAUAUUGCAUGCCAGGAAAGAGGAAGGGGUGUCAAUUAAUCCAACUUUCAAUGUUUCUGUAACAUUUGGUAAACGUGAUGAGCCAAUGCUAGUUGCAUGUGCUCGACAGUUGAUCGAAUUCAUAAGUGCCUCUGGAUAUUCUAAAGGAUUAGUACUCUCCCUUGGCCUCAAGGACCACUCCGUGAAACAUUUUUCCGCUUCAAAUCCCUUUACAUCAGAGCAAAAUAUAGUUUCCUAAUAUUGGAGUUGGAGAAUGAGGGCCAUGUAACGAUUUAACUGAUAUUUGUACCAUCUCCCCCACGGAGGACUGAUUGUGCAAGUAUAAUGAAAGGGAACGCUGAAACACAUCGUUUCUGCUGUAAUUGAGAAAUUGCCUGUGGUAACUUAGUAUUAUGAUCUCAACAAUUUGCGUUUGGUGGCUUGUUUGCCCUGCAAGGAGUAAAAUUGCGAAAAAUAGUUAGAACUUUGUUUCUUUUCUUGUAGCUCGUCAGUUUCAGUGGCUUGGCAUUGAAUAUGCAUUCGUCUUGACGUGACAUUGAAAAGUUUUGGCCCUUCUAUAACAUGAUAUAACUGUCUGUAAGAUGAAACGGAACAUAUCAAUAACAUAUAGAUUGGUAUUUCAGCCAUCCA